UGAUGCUAGGUUGAGACUGAGAGCAGGUUGCACCGCCACCGACAUUAACCAUGGUCGACGCACUUUGUUUAAAUGGUUCAUCAUUUGAGUCGUGGCCGUGUUGUACUUAUAACCCGGCAUUGCAUUGUUUGCAAGUUUUUAAAAUCAAAAUGGUCCCACGCCACACGUCGCCGUGAUCUCUUCAUGAUUCAUUUUGAAAUCAAAACCGAUACUCGCAGGUAACUGAGUAUGGUGUCAAACAUUGCCCCCGGGUGGUAAAACGGUUAACUGCUGCCACACGAUGAAAUUCAUUUCAUUGCUUCAGGACUCACACUACGCAACGCAACCUGCAUUAGUUUAAUC